CGGGGUGCACCAGGCGCGAAAACUUUACAAUGCCGGCAACGGCGAUAAGGGAACCUCGAGUGCCAGGUUACAAAUCUGGCUGUCGUGAUGCCUAAAAAGCAUUGCAUAGCAAGGGCCGGGCAAGACCGGUGCCAGCCGCCGCGGUAACACCGGCGGCUCGAGUGGUAACCGUUAUUAUUGGGUCUAAAGGGUCUGUAGCCGGCCGGAUAAGUCUCUUGGGAAAUCUGGCAGCUUAACUGUCAGGCUUUCAGGAGAUACUGUCUGGCUCGAGGCCGGGAGAGGUGAGAGGUACUUCAGGGGUAGGGGUGAAGUCUUGUAAUCCUUGAAGGACCACCAGUGGCGAAGGCGUCUCACCAGAACGGACCUGACGGCAAGGGACGAAAGCUAGGGGCACGAACCGGAUUAGAUACCCGGGUAGUCCUAGCCGUAAACGAUACUCGCUAGGUGUCGGCCACGGUGCGACCGUGGUCGGUGCCGUAGGGAAGCCGUGAAGCGAGCCACCUGGGAAGUACGGCCGCAAGGCUGAAACUUAAAGGAAUUGGCGGGGGAGCACAAGGGCGAUUCGCG
rnacentral:rRNA from 1 species